rnacentral:rRNA from 1 species
GCGCAUGCAGGUGGUUUGUUAAGUCAGAUGUGAAAGCCCGGGGCUCAACCUCGGAAUUGCAUUUGAAACUGGCAGACUAGAGUACUGUAGAGGGGGGUAGAAUUUCAGGUGUAGCGGUGAAAUGCGUAGAGAUCUGAAGGAAUACCGGUGGCGAAGGCGGCCCCCUGGACAGAUACUGACACUCAGAUGCGAAAGCGUGGGGAGCAAACAGGAUUAGAUACCCUGGUAGUCCACGCCGUAAACGAUGUCUACUUGGAGGUUGUGGCCUUGAGCCGUGGCUUUCGGAGCUAACGCGUUAAGUAGACCGCCUGGGGAGUACGGUCGCAAGAUUAAAACUCAAAUGAAUUGACGGGGGCCCGCACAAGCGGUGGAGCAUGUGGUUUAAUUCGAUGCAACGCGAAGAACCUUACCUACUCUUGACAUCCAGAGAACUUUCCAGAGAUGGAUUGGUGCCUUCGGGAACUCUGAGACAGGUGCUGCAUGGCUGUCGUCAGCUCGUGUUGUGAAAUGUUGGGUUAAGUCCCGCAACGAGCGCAACCCUUAUCCUUGUUUGCCAGCGAGUAAUGUCGGGAACUCCAGGGAGACUGCCGGUGAUAAACCGGAGGAAGGUGGGGACGACGUCAAGUCAUCAUGGCCCUUACGAGUAGGGCUACACACGUGCUACAAUGGCGCAUACAGAGGGCAGCCAACUUGCGAGAGUGAGCGAAUCCCAAAAAGUGCGUCGUAGUCCGGAUCGGAGUCUGCAACUCGACUCCGUGAAGUCGGAAUCGCUAGUAAUCGUGGAUCAGAAUGCCACGGUGAAUACGUUCCCGGGCCUUGUACACACCGCCCGUCACACCAUGGGAGUGGGCUGCAAAAGAAGUAGGUAGUUUAACCUUCGGGAGGACGCUUACCACUUUGUGGUUCAUGACUGGGGUGAAUCUAA